GAUGAACGCUGGCGGCGUGCUUAACACAUGCAAGUCGAACGGAAAGGCCCAAGCUUGCUUGGGUACUCGAGUGGCGAACGGGUGAGUAACACGUGGGUGAUCUGCCCUGCACUUCGGGAUAAGCCUGGGAAACUGGGUCUAAUACCGGAUAGGACCACAUUUUGGAUGGUGUGGUGGAAAGUUUUUCGGUGUGGGAUGAGCUCGCGGCCUAUCAGCUUGUUGGUGGGGUAAUGGCCUACCAAGGCGUCGACGGGUAGCCGGCCUGAGAGGGUGUACGGCCACAUUGGGACUGAGAUACGGCCCAGACUCCUACGGGAGGCAGCAGUGGGGAAUAUUGCGCAAUGGGCGCAAGCCUGAUGCAGCGACGCCGCGUGGGGGAUGACGGCCUUCGGGUUGUAAACUCCUUUCGCUAGGGACGAAGCGCAAGUGACGGUACCUGGAGAAGAAGCACCGGCUAACUACGUG
rnacentral:rRNA from 1 species